rnacentral:rRNA from 1 species
CAGUCGCCGCGGGAAAACGGAGGGUGCAAGCGUUAAUCGGAAUUACUGGGCGUAAAGCGCACGCAGGCGGUCUGACAAGUCAGAUGUGAAAUCCCCGGGCUUAACCUGGGAACUGCAUUUGAAACUGUCAGGCUGGAGUCUUGUAGAGGGGGGUAGAAUUCCAGGUGUAGCGGUGAAAUGCGUAGAGAUCUGGAGGAAUACCGGUGGCGAAGGCGGCCCCCUGGACAAAGACUGACGCUCAGGUGCGAAAGCGUGGGGAGCAAACAGGAUUAGAUACCCGAGUAGUCCCUGUCUCUUAUAC